UACAGAGGUGGCAAGCGUUGUUCGGAAUUACUGGGCGUAAAGGGCGCGUAGGCGGCCUUCUAAGUCAGACGUGAAAUCCCCCGGCUUAACCUGGGAACUGCGUCUGAUACUGGGAGGCUUGAGUAUGGGAGAGGGAUGUAGAAUUCCUGGUGUAGCGGUGAAAUGCGCAGAUAUCAGGAGGAACACCGGUGGCGAAGGCGGCAUUCUGGACCGAUAUUGACGCUGAGGAGCGAAAGCCAGGGGAGCAAACGGG
rnacentral:rRNA from 1 species